rnacentral:misc_RNA from 1 species
GUGUUGGGCUCCCAAUUUUGAAUUCGGGGCACAAAUAUCAAUUUAUCUGUUUGAAAGUGAAUAAGCACAGUAUUUUAAAUCUAUUUUUUUUAUUUUCUUGUUCUCUUAUUUCUUCGUGUUGACUUUUGGAAGAAUUUCAUGAACCAUUAGAAUAAUGACGUUGUGGAUUGGUGGUAGCAGAAGAAACAAUGUUACUUGGGGUCCCUCUCU